UACGAAGGGGGCGAGCGUUGUUCGGAAUUACUGGGCGUAAAGCGUAUGCAGGCGGAUCGUUAAGUCGGGGGUGAAAUCCCGAGGCUCAACCUCGGAACUGCCUUCGAUACUGGCGACCUUCGAGUCCGGGAGAGGUGAGUGGAACUCCGAGUGUAGAGGUGAAAUUCGUAGAUAUUCGGAAGAACACCAGUGGCGAAGGCGGCUCACUGGCCCGGUACUGACGCUGAGAUACGAAAGCGUGGGGAGCAAACAGG
rnacentral:rRNA from 1 species